UGGAUAGCUCAGUCGAUAGAGCAGGAGACUCUUAAUCUCAGGGUUGUGGGUAUGAUCCCCAUGUUGGAUCAA